GGACACUGUAGUGUGCAUAUAUUACUUAGUGCUUACUUCACUCUUUUGUGGAGAUUGUUAAAGGAAUACACAGGUAAAUAUGGUUAGGUGCUUCGAGAAUCCUCUCCUUGCAAGCUAAGCACUGCAGCCUUGAAUAAAGGUAAACAGUCUACAAGCAGCUUACCCAUGGCUAUCGAUGAUACAAAUAUUUCAGCAAGGGGCUGAACAAUCACUUCCCUAUCUUCCCACAAAGCUCUGGAGUACAACUCUUCAGAUCCCAGGGCAAGCUAAGAUGUAAUACCAAGAAGCACGCAAGCACAUGAAGGUGACCACCAACUCUACAAGACCCAUGCCUUAAGAGAAGCUGUCCUGGAAGCAGCAAAGAUAGAGAGAGAGAAUGUUUUAGAGUGGUUAUAACUAGUGAAGCAAGUGCUUUUUCCUGAAAUUUCAUGAGGCACCUUAUCUUUCUUUUCAGUUCUCAUUGAAUAUCCUGUCUCAAAUAUUUGCAAUGCUAUGUGAUUCUGUUUUAAACUGUCACUCAUC